rnacentral:rRNA from 1 species
CCUACGGGACGCACCAGUGGGGAAUAUUGCACAAUGGGCGCAAGCCUGAUGCAGCCAUGCCGCGUGUGUGAAGAAGGCCUUCGGGUUGUAAAGCACUUUCAGCGAGGAGGAAGGUGGUGAGCUUAAUACGCUCAUCAAUUGACGUUACUCGCAGAAGAAGCACCGGCUAACUCCGUGCCAGCAGCCGCGGUAAUACGGAGGGUGCAAGCGUUAAUCGGAAUUACUGGGCGUAAAGCGCACGCAGGCGGUUUGUUAAGUCAGAUGUGAAAUCCCCGGGCUCAACCUGGGAACUGCAUUUGAAACUGGUCAGCUAGAGUCUUGUAGAGGGGGGUAGAAUUCCAUGUGUAGCGGUGAAAUGCGUGGAGAUGUGGAGGAAUACCGGUGGCGAAGGCGGCCCCCUGGACAAAGACUGACGCUCAGGUGCGAAAGCGUGGGGAGCAAACAGGAUUAGAUACCCCGGUAGUC